rnacentral:rRNA from 1 species
CAGGUGAGUAACGCGUAUCCAACCUGCCCACCACUUGGGGAUAACCUUGCGAAAGUAAGACUAAUACCCAAUGAUAUCUCUAGAAGACAUCUGAAAGAGAUUAAAGAUUCAUCGGUGAUGGAUGGGGAUGCGUCUGAUUAGCUUGUUGGCGGGGUAACGGCCCACCAAGGCAACGAUCAGUAGGGGUUCUGAGAGGAAGGUCCCCCACAUUGGAACUGAGACACGGUCCAA